rnacentral:lncRNA from 1 species
GGACAGAGAUGUUGGGAGACCCUUUUGCACCUAGUGCUCAGUGGACAGUUGUUUCCUAGGAUAUGGGAUGGCCACUGCCAUUUUUGUAGCCAGUGAUGCUGAUUUAUCCAGGGUGAUGAGGAAUCACAUAGGCUAUUGAUUUAUCGGGUCGAGGGAGCGGACAGGAACCGACCCUAUGGCAAGAUUAGAAACGACAGCCAGAUGCAGACCCAGCCUCGGAAGCGGCCUGACCCUCUGCCCACUGGCACCCAGGCAUCUGUCCUUGUCCUCAUGGCUAAAUAAACCCGUUCAGACCCCGGAGGAUGAACAACAGGACAAGUUAACGGCAACUGACGGGUCCGUUGUCUCUCAGGCAUGUUCGACUCUUUGCGACCCCAUGGACUGCAGCGUGCCAGGCUUCUCUGUUCUUCAUCUCCGGGAGCUUGCUCAAGCUCAUGGAAGGAAUCUACUGUCAGCCAAACCACAUAUUGAUGUCACUCAAGUUGGGCAUGGUUUAAACGUUGAUAAAACCCGGUUUUCUAGUUUUCCCAGGUGA